rnacentral:rRNA from 1 species
AUUGAACGCUGGCGGCAUGCUUUACACAUGCAAGUCGAACGGCAGCGCGGGGCAACCUGGCGGCGAGUGGCGAACGGGUGAGUAAUACAUCGGAACGUACCCAGAAGUGGGGGAUAACGUAGCGAAAGUUACGCUAAUACCGCAUACGUUCUACGGAAGAAAGUGGGGGACCGCAAGGCCUCAUGCUUUUGGAGCGGCCGAUGUCUACUUAGCUAGUUGGUAGGGGAAAGGCCUACCAAGGCGACGAUCAGUAGCUGGUCUGAAGGGACGACCAGCCAGACUGGGAGUGAGACAGGGCGGAGACUCCUACGGGAGACAGCAGUGGGGAAAUGUGGACAAUGGGCGCAAGCCUGAUCCAGCAAGGCCGCGGGAGUGAAGAAGGUCUUCGGGUUGUAAAGCUCUUUUGUCAGGGAAGAAACGGCUGAGGUUAAUACCUUUGGCUAAUGACGGUACCUGAAGAAUAGGCACCGGCUAACUACGUGCCAGCCGCCGCCGUAACAC